AGCCGCCGCGGUAAUACCGGCGGCUCGAGUGGUGGCCACUUUAUUGGGCUUAAAGCGUUCGUAGCUGGGUUGUUAAGUCUCUUGGGAAAUCCGGCAGCUUAACUGUCGGGCGUCUAAGGGAUACUGGUAAUCUUGGAACCGGGAGAGGUGAGGGGGUACUUCGGGGGUAGGAGUGAAAUCCUGUAAUCCUCGAGGGACCACCUGUGGCGAAGGCGCCUCACCAGAACGGCUUCGACAGUGAGGGACGAAAGCUGGGGGAGCAAACCGGAUUAGAUACCCGGGUAGUCCCAGCCGUAAACGAUGCGCGUUAGGUGUAUCGGUGACCACGAGUCACCGAGGUGCCGAAGGGAAACCGUGAAACGUGCCGCCUGGGAAGUACGGUCGCAAGGCUGAAACUUAAAGGAAUUGGCGGGGGAGCACCACAACAGGUGGAGCCUGCCGGUUUAAUCGGACUCAACGCCGGAAAUCUCACCGGAUAAGACAGCUGAAUGAUUGCCGGGCUGAAGACUCUGCAUGACUAGCUGAGAAGUGGUGCAUGG
rnacentral:rRNA from 1 species